CCCUCCCCCCCAAAAGAUUACCCGCUGAACUUAAGCAUAUCAAUAAGCGGAGGAAAAGAAACCAACAGGGAUUGCCUCAGUAACGGCGAGUGAAGCGGCAAAAGCUCAAGUUUGAAACCCCGAUUGUGCCAAGGGAGAGGACAGGACCAAGUCGCUUGGAACAGCGCGCCACAGAGGGUGACAGCCCCGCUCCGACCCGUCCCCCACACCGACUCAAGCUGUUUGGGAAUGCAGCUCAAAUGGUGGUAAAAUCCAUCCAAAGCUAAAUACCGGCGAGACACCGAUAGCAAACAAGUACAGUGAUGGAAAGAUGAAAAGCACUUUGAAAAGAGAGUGAAACAGUAUGUGAAAUUGUUGAGAGGGAAGGGAAUC
rnacentral:rRNA from 2 species